rnacentral:rRNA from 1 species
UAGCUAUACACGGAUAACAACAGAUGAUGCCUAUCAACUGUUUAAAAGAUGGUUCUGCUAUCACUCUUGGAUGGACCUGCGGUGCAUUAGCUAGUUGGUAGGGUAACGGCCUACCAAGGCGAUGAUGCAUAGCCGAGUUGAGAGACUGAUCGGCCACAUUGGGACUGAGACACGGCCCAAACUCCUACGGGAGGCAGCAGCU